rnacentral:lncRNA from 1 species
GGAGUGUAGCAUAGAGGGAGGUAAAUACACAAACAGUAUAUACAUCACGCAUCCAUAUACACUCAUAAGUAUACAUAUAGGUCAGUAUAGACUGACUGGGUGUAUAUAUAAAUACAGGAAAUGAUAGUAGUUUCGAAAUAAUCUAGUUCAGUGUAAAAUUACUGUUAGAAAGAGGCAGAACUUAUUGAGCAACUAUGAAAGGGACCGGUUAUAUCGCACUAACGUGUCUUUUGAUAUUGUUGGCGGGUCUUCAGGAGAGCGAAGGUAUACAUACAUAUAUAUAUAUACAAAUGUAUUUAUAAUCGUACAUAUUUAUACAUAUACAGAUACAUACAGAUAUACACACAAUUGGGUGCGUACAUAUAUAUAUAUAUAUAUAAGUUUCCACGUAUGCACGCUGACAUUUGUGCGCACAAAGCGAAAUGGGAACAUUCUUUUCUCUCCGAGAAAAAAACAAUAACCUUCACACACACACACGCGCGCGCGCACGCACACACACACACACACGCACAAACACACACACAUACACACCCCCGCGUGCAUACAUCCAAACACAUAAGUAAGCAAACAUUCGAAAACAAAGCAAUGAUAAAUGUAGAAAUCUGUCUAUAUAAAUAUAUACUUUAUUUCAAAGCAGCAGAAACUUGUCCGACGAACGCGAACGUGAAACUCAGAGUAACAGGUUUUGUUGAAUUUUCUGCUGCUUUGAAAUAAAGCAUAUUACUCUACCCCUGGUAUUUGAGUACUCUUUUUUCCACCUUGUUUCACAUUUAUGUGUUUACUCCGGUAUAUAAAUAUAUAUAUACAUAUAUAUAUAUAUAUUAUAUAUAUAUAUAUAAACAUGAUUAUGUAUAUAUGUACACACACACAUAUACACACACACACGUACACACCCGUUCAUAUAUACACGCACACACAUCUCUGUGCGUGGUGUAUGCCUGUCAUACGUAUUUAUCCGCAUAUGUCUAUCUACACUCGUCCAAGUAUGUUUAUAUAUACAAACACACACACACACACACACACACACACACACACACACACACACAGUAAUUAUAAUUGUUUAUUUAUCUCUCUCUCUCUCUCUCUCUCUCUCUCUAUCAGACUGUCUUUCAGCUUCUCUUUCUCUUUGUCCCUCUCACCCUUUCUCUGUCUCCGUCUGUCUGUCUCUCUAUUUCUCAUCUCUCUCACUCACUCUCUCUCUCUCACUCACUCAUUCUCUCUCUCUCUCUUUCUCUUCGAAACGCGGAGUAGAUAAAAAAGGGGACAACUGACGAAGGCAAUGUACUUUACGUUUCCCGUCUCGUUCCUUUGUUUUUCGUUGUUCGAAAAAAAAGUUCGUUUUCUUGUUUUUGUUUUUUAUGUUCCCGUUUCUCAUUUUGACUACGUUUUUUAAUGUCCUGUACACAUAUAUGCAUGAAUAUAUACAUAUAUAUGUAAGUAUGUACAUAUACGUAUGUAUAUAUGCAUAUAUUUAUAUAUUAUUUAUAUUAUUAUAUGAUCAAACGCCACGCGUCCUUUUUCAAGUAAGUUUAAUAUAUAUAUAUAUAUGUGUGUGUGUAUGUAUGUACGCAUGUAUGUGUGUAUGUAUAUAUGUAUAUAUAUAUAUGUAUGUAUAUGUCUUUACUCAUCCAUAGAUGGGCAAGUGUUUUCUACUAUACCAUCGGUCCUUUUGAGUGGAUUUGAUAGACGGAAACUGAAAGAAGCCCGUCGUAUAGAUUUGUAUAUCGAUGUCAUUGUUCCCCCGCCAAACCAUCGCUUGAAGAAAGAUGUUGUUGUGUUCACAUCCCUAUAACGUAGCGGUUGGUCAAUAAAGCCCUAUAGCAUAAACAAUUGGCUUACAAAGAAUAAAGGCGGUGCUCCAGCAUGGCUGCAAUCAAAUGAUUAAAAGAAAAAUAAUAUACAUAUAUAUAUAUGUAAAACGAUAAUAUAUAUAUAUAUAUAUAUAUAUAUAUAUAUAUGCAGGUGUAUAUAUAUUUGCAUAUAAAUACCAUAUAUAUAUAUAUAUAUAUAUAUAUAUAUAUAUAUAUAUAUAUAUAUAUAUAUGUAUAUACAUAUAUGUACAUAUAUAUAUCUAUAUUUACAUAUAUAUAUAUGUAUAUAAAUAUAUAUAUACAUCUAUAUGUAUAUACAUAUAUAUAUAUAAGUAUGUAUAUAUAUAUAUAUAUGUACAUAGGUAUAUAUAUGUAUAUAUAUAUAUAUAUAUAUAUAUAUAUAUAAGUAUAUAUAUGUAUAUAGAGUUUUAUCAUGGCAACGGAAUAAUUGUCACAUAUUAUAUCACAAAUAAAUUCCUCUAUUUGCAUAAUAUCGAGGUCACUUAUUUUAUUUUUGUCUUACCAUUACUGUUAGUAUACACACAUACAUAUAUACACACACACAUACAUACACACAUACAUGAAUACAUACAUACAUACAUACGUACAUACAUACAUACAUACAUACAUACAUACAUACAUACAUACAUACAUACAUACAUACAUACAUACAUACAUACAUAUAUAUAUAUAUAUAUAUAUAUAUAUAUAUAUAUAUAUAUAUAUAUAUAUAUAUAUAUAUAUAUAUAUAUAUAUAUACAUUGAUAGGUUUCGGCAAGUAUUGAGCCAGGCCAUGACUAAAUUAAUAGCACCAUCUGGAGAAGUUAUGCAAAUCAGGUAUCGAACAACAUGGCCCACUUUAGCAAGAUGUUAUACCUGUACAUAUAUUAUAUUCAUAUAUGUAUAGAUGUAUCUUUUGUCUCAUAUGCGUGCUACCGCUCGCGCCCGCGUGUGUGUUUGUGUGUCUAUGCUUCUAUUAUCUCUAUACCUGCGUAUGAUGAAUGUGUUUUUGUUAUUCUUUGUUAGUAUUCCUGUGUAUAUUAUCUGAGUAAACAGCGGUUGCCAACCGUUUGUUUGUGUAAAUACUGAUUGAUGUAAGUGUGUACGUGCGUAUAUAUGAGUGUAUUAGUUUAUUUUGCUUUUGUAGAUUUGAAUCUGUGUGCAUGUGUACUUUUGUGUGCGUAUGUGUAUGCAUUUGUAUGCAGGAUCGUGCAUGCAUUUACGUGUUUGUGUAUUUUGUCUUUGUGUGAUUGUGUGUGUUGUUGUUUCGUACAUGCGUGUGUCCGUGUUCUUCUCUGUGUGUAUUUGUGCCUAUGUGUGUUUGUAUGUGUGUGUAAACGUGCAUAUGAGAAUGUCGUAUAUGUAUUUGCAUGUGUGUGUGUAUGUAUGUCUGUGAGUGUGUGUGCGUGAGUGCGAGUGCGUGUGUAUAUCUAUGUAUGUAUAUGUGCGUGAAUGAUUAAUAUUCUCGACACACCGUUGGUCAGAGACACCGAUCUUGUCAACAAAAUAAGCCACUAGGUUAUUCCAGAAAAAAAAAUAAUAAUAAAAGCGGCGAAAAAGAUCUUGCAUAAUUGAUAUCUAUUCAUGAAUGUAUAUAAAGAGCGGCAUAAUACAGUCUGCGCUAAAAGUUACGUAAUACAGCUUUUGGCAUUUUAUUUGAAUUAUGAUAUAUAUAAGGGUAAAGACCCCCUUCGGUUAUGAAUGACCAUGGGAUUGUACCUGGAAAGUUACCCUCCUAGACACAAGUCCGGGCAAGGUUGUUUAUAGAAGGCCAGCAGUCGCCCAUGCAUACCAGCCUCCCCUCUCCACGCCACCAGUGUUAUUCAAGGGAAAGACAAAGGUCGAUACAGCUUGGCACCAGUGAUGUCGCAACUCAUUUCUACAGCUAAGUGAACUGGAGCAACGUGAAAUAAAGUGCCUUGCUCGAGAACACAACACACAGCCCGGUCCGGGAUUCGAGCUCACAACCUCACGAUCGUAAGCUCGACGGUCUAACCACUGAGCCAUGCGCAUAUAUAUAUAUAUAUAUAUAUAUAUAUAUAUAUAUAUAUAUAUAUAUAUAUAUAUAUAUGUGUGUGUUUUUAUAUAUGUAUAUAUAUAUAUAUAUAUAUAUAUAUAUGUGUGUGUGUUUUUAUAUAUGUAUAUAUAUAUAUAUAUAUAUAUAUAUAUAUAUAUAUAUAUAUGUGUGUGUGUUUUUAUAUAUUAAUUAUAUAUAUAUAUAUAUAUAUAUAUAUAUGUGUGUGUGUUUUUAUAUAUGUAUAUAUAUAUAUAUAUAUAUAUAUAUAUAUAUAUAUAUAUAUAUAUAUAUAUAUAUAUUAAUAUAACCCCAAAUGUAAUUGGUAGAACUAUACGCAUGUAUACACGUUCCGUGUAUAGUUCUUCAUAUUAUAGUUUGCUUUGACGAUCACACUGAUGAAUUGCGGAUAUUUACGGAAAUAUUACGUAAGUGGUAACAAUGAAACAGGGUUUGUGAUUGUUCUUUAUAUCCUGAAUCUUUUCAUUUGCCUUGCUCCCUUACGUUCUGGCGUUUGAAGAAUUUUCUUGAGAACAAUCUUUUAUUAGUAGUCAGACCAUAUGAGGUCUACAUCUAGUAUAAUGGAUGUCCACUUAGUGUCCAUCCCUCUUAUGUAUAUAUACAUAAUCAAAAUAAGCAACAAAGGUAUCCAAUGUAGUGUAGUACAAUCGUUUCAUGCUACUUCAUUUUAUUAAACACUGUAAGUAUUACAUCAGUUUUAAAAUGUAGAGCAAUCUUCAGCCACAUAUAUGAUUUUUUAAUUAAAUGGACAAUGUAUAUACACACAUAUAUAUAUAUAUAUACACACAUAUAUACAUAUGUCUAUAUUUUACCUCUCGUGGUUCACGAUCUUACUGGCUCCGGCUAAUUCUGAGAGCAGACAGGAGAGCACACAUGUUGACAAAGAUCUCACAGAGUCUCUUUCUUCGGUUGAUCCAACCACCAAUCUCCAAAUCCUCGCUGUCUCCGACUGCGUAUCUUUUUUACCUUAUUAUUAUUAUUAUUAUUAUUAUUAUUAUUAUUAUUAUUAUUAUUAUUAUUAUUAUUAUUAUUAUUAUCAUUAUUAUCAUUAUUAUUAUUACUAUUAUUAUUAUUAUUAUUAUUAUUAUUAUUAUUAUUAUUAUUAUUAUUAUUAUUAUCAUUAUUAUUAUUAUCAUUAUUAUUAUUACUAUUAUUAUUAUUAUUAUUAUUAUUAUUAUCAUUAUUAUCAUUAUUAUUAUUAUUAUCAUUAUUAUUAUUAUCAUUAUUAUUUUUAUUAUCAUUAUUAUUAUUAUCAUUAUUAUUAUUAUUAUUGAGUGAGAGAGCAGUUCAUGCCAUCAAAGUGACACUGGGGUAAAAUAUACGAAGCCCAAUAUACCCAUCAUGACUACCCGUCUGAUAAAGGUACACCAGGCACAUGCAUCACAACCAUAUGUGCGCGACAUGGUGAUCUCAUAUCAAGAUAAACAGCACAUGACCUUGCAGGUGGGGCCCAGUUAGAAUUUUCUUCAGGUCGAGUAGCCCAUCCCGCUCAAACGGUCCCUGAAUAAGGGUUGUUUAAGGAUGUUGAAAGAACCACCCAUGUUUCCAGAGGUGAAUUAUUCAAACCCCAAAGAAUCCCUCUCAACACAUGGCUAUGAUGCUCCCCCACUACUUCUGCUCGUGAUCAGAGAUGCACAUAUCGUCAGCCACUAAGGGACAUGCUCAACUGGUUAUGGUCAAACAACUGACAAGCAAAUCUGUGGUAUUGAGCAGAAUAUUUGCUGUAGCCCAUCUUUUAUACCAAGACAAAACAAUGUACAUGAUAACACUUCCAAUCAGUUAAGAUCAGAAGCCAUGAGAGCCACUGCCUGGUACUGCAUCAGGGCUAUUAUUAUUAUCAUUAUUAUUAUUAUCAUUAUUAUUAUUAUUAUUAUUAUUAUUAUUAUUAUUAUUAUUAUUAUUAUUAUUAUCAUUAUUAUCAUUAUUAUUAUUAUUAUCAUUAUUAUCAUUAUUAUUAUUAUUAUCAUUAUUAUUAUUAUUAUUAUUAUUAUUAUUAUUAUUAUUAUUAUUAUUAUUAUUAUUAUUAUUAUUUAGGCGGUGAGCUCGCAGAAUCGUAAGUACGCCGGACGAAAUGAAUUCGCGUUGUUUCGUCCGUCGCUACGUUCUGAGUCCAAAUUUCGCCGAGGUCGACUCUGCCUUUCAUCAUUUCGGGGUCGAUAAGUUAAGGACAAGUGAAACAAAGAGUUCGACGUAAUCAAGUAGUCACGUCCCAUGAAAUGUCAGCCCUUGUGUCUUUAGUAGAAAGGACUCUUAGGGUUCAUUUAUUUAUUUCGUUCAUCAUGUACAUGAUGAACGAAAUAAAUAAAUGAACCGCAUUUGCAGCGGUACCCUCAAUACGAACAUUUCCGGGUGUUUGGGUGUCAAGCUGAGUAUUGUGCAGAGGAUUCGGAAAGAAUUGGAUGAGUCUAAUUGUGAUUACGAAGAUACAGCAGCUCGGAAAACUCACUCUCAUCGUUCUGAUAAGAAAAUAGCUCCUGAACAUGUUGGUGAGAUCCAGGCCAUGAUUGACAACGAUCCCUCCAAGGUAAUCAAUUCCAUCACCAGGGACAUGGGAGUGUCUCAGUUUCUUAUCAGGCAUGUAGUGCAUGAAGACAAGUUGAGAAAUGGCCAGUUUUUGUGCCAAGCUACAGGACUUAUCUACUAUCCACCUCCACAUCCGACCUUUUAAGGCCGUUUUUGGCCUGAAGCGGAUCGGUCAACUAUUUGUGGGUUAUAAAAGACUAAACGAUUUUCAAAAAUACAGAACGACCAUAUUUUAGAAGUCAGGUCGCAUUGUUAUUUGAGGAAUAAAAAGAUAUAAAUAAAAUAAACUAACUUUAUCUCAGAAGUCGAAACAUGACACCAAGGUCUCACCCCCUAUUUUAGAUAAACCCCCUACUCACCUCCCUCAAAAUACUUUAAGGUUUUUUGUUUAGAACUCUGUCGUCUAUCCAGUCUCUUACAGAUUCUAAAUUAAACAUGGCGGCCGUGUCUUUUGGAAACUGUACAGAAUAUUAUUAUACCGUUCCCUCUAAUCUUUGUAAUGCUAUAAAUUCUACCUUCUUCCCUUCUGUUACCGCAAUAUUUUCCCCAAAUCAACUACUAACCUGAGCAAGCGAAUUCAUACUUUUGACAGGAACUUCUGUUGGUGACAUUUGGAAUGUUUUAAAUGUUUAAAUUAUGUAUAUUCACCUGAUGAGAAAGUUUUUUUUGUAUAUAAUGUAAUAUCUCAAUACAUUAAUUAAAAAUUACUUUGGAAUCAGCUGUAGUGAAUAAACUAUUAACCAUCUGUAAUAUAUAUAUACACAUACACACACAUUUUUAUUCCUAUUAGGCAGAAACAACACACACACACAUGUAUAUAUAUAUAUAUAUUUCUUUAUUUUUGUACUUGUUUCCGUUAUUUCACUGUGGCCAUGCUGGGUCACAGCCUUAAUUGGAUUUCAUUGAAGAAACCUACCCCGGGACUUAUAAUUUGUAAGCCCAGUACUAAUUCUAUCGGUCUCUUUCGCCAAACCGAUAUGUUACGGGGACAUAAACAUAUGAGCAUAGGUUGUCAAGCGAUAGCGGCGAACAAACACACACACACACACAAACAUAUAUAUAUAUAUAUAAUGUAUAUAAUGUAUAUAAUGUAUAUAAUUUUCUCUUUCAGCGAAGAAGAAGUGCAUCAUUUACCGGUGUUUCGCUAAUCCCUGCCGUGGAAAAACAUGCCCGAACUUUCCAAACGCCGAAUGCAAGUGAGUAAAUUACAUCGAAUGAAAUAAUUCCUGUGGAACAUUCUUAUCCCUAUAACCAUCUUUCUUUUCGCCCUCCUUACUCCCACGCAAAAGUAAGCAAACAAUUGAUGAAGGGUAAUUAAAACUUUAAAAUGUCCUUAUAUGAUUUUGCUGUUUGCCAUAUGUGUUCGUGCGUCACACAUGAAACAGCGAUUUUUAACUUUCGUUUGUUUCAGUUUUUCGACCAUAUAUAUAUAUAUAUAUAUAUAUAUAUAUAUAUAUAUAUAUAUAUAUAUAUACGACAGGCUUCUUUCAGUUUCCGUCUACCAAAUCCACUCACAAGGCUUUGGUUGGCUCGAGGCUAUAGUAGAAGACACUUACCCAAUGUGCCACACGGUGGGAAUGAUUCUAGAACCAUGAGGUUGAUAAGCAAGUUACUUACCACGCAGCCACUCCUGCGCCUAUGUCCAGUGUUUUUCCUAGCUUUUCUUAAUUGACGAACCACUACGCAGAGGAGAGGUAAACGAAGCCAUAUUUGCUGUCAUAUGCUGUUGGACACGGUAACACAGAUACAUAGACACACAAACCCAUAGUAACGAAGCUAAAGUAAGCAGAGUAAGACCGCUUGGCAGAGAUUGACUAUAAACACUGUUGUGCAUAAGCCCUAAGUUUUAACGUUCUAGCUCCCUUUUGCUGUUUCCAACAGUGCUUGGAAAGAUGGUGUGUAGCGAGUGAUCGUCGCAUUGAACAUGACAGGGAAAGUUGAGUAGAGAACAUGCAUCAAAUUUGCCAAAAUCUUCGCGAUACCUUCUCAGAGGUAUACCCAAAGUUUCCAAGAAGGUUUCAUCAUUCUCGACGCAAUGGAGGAGAUGUUCUGCAACUUAAAGCCGGCUGUCUCUUUUAUCAGCUGAAAGCAGUUUAGGCACAAACUUGGAAGACCCAAAUAUUCAGUGAUAAGGGACUGAACUGAACCUUAAAUAAUCUGUACAUCCUCUGAUAACUCACGGAUGAUGAUUCGACGAUUUCCCCUCACGGUUGCACGCGCAUACGCAAUAGUUUUUUCAGUUCUUCUGGUUGCGGGUCUACGAGAACCUUCAUCUCUAUCGACAUUUUUCCGGCCAUCUUGGAAACGUCUGAACCACUCGUAUACUUGUAUGCGGCUCAUAAACUCCUAUUCAUACACUUUCUACAACCUCGAGUAGGCCUCUGAGCAGGUAUCACCAUGAGAACGUUAACAUGGCCAAUGCGAUGAUCGCACGCUACACACCUUCCUUCCAAACACUGCUUUGAACAGUGGAAGGGAGCUAGAACAUUAAGACUUAUGUUCAUAUAUAUAUAUAUAUAUAUAUAUAUAUAUAUAUAUAUAUAUAUAUAUAUAUAUAUAUAUAUAUAUAUAUAUAUAUAUAUAUAUAUAUAUAUAUAUAUAUAUAUAUAUUGUUAUAUUUCGGAAUGGUCAUAUUGCCAGUAUAGCCAAUAAAUCUUGCACAACAAAUAUUUAAACGUAUAUAUAUAUAUAUAUAUAUAUAUAACACACACACACACACACACACACACACACACAUAUAUAUAUAUAUAUAUAUAUAUAUAUAUAUUUAUAGCAUAUAUAUACAGUUUUGUAGCAACAUAGCACACGAUGGUAACUGGGGAUCAAACCGAGUGAAACGUAGUAUAGAUGUUGAUGUGAAUAUGUAUUCCAUCGCCAAAAAUGAGGCUAAACUUAAAGCAAAUGGUUCCUAUUUCGAAUCCAAUCAGGUAACACAUAUUUUACAAGCAAUAUCCCAUCUGAUCUCGAAUAGUGAUCACACCGAAUGAAAUAUAAUGUAGAUCUAGUUAUCCUGUCUGUAACUAUGGAGAUGGUUAUCGUCUCUCUAAAACUAAGGCUACCUCUGUUAGAAAUUACAAUGUUGUGAACACAGACCACAACACAGAUCAUACUGAUGACUUUUCAUUUUCCUAUCCUUCAUUUCAGAUCCAAUUAUUGUAAUGGAUGUAAUUACAACUUCUUCGUGAAUGAUGAGAAAGUAAAUUGCUGAAGUUACUUCUAUGAACAAACAAGACAUAAAUAAAAGUAACUAAAAAAAAAUUCAUUAAA